GUCACGCAGAGUGACUGGGCAUGCUCUGAUAGCUAGGGGAUAGUUAGUCUUGGGAAGGUGAAAGAUGUGAUUAGGAGUUCUUAGGGAAAUGUUAGCUGAGUGGAUGGCAUUGAUGAAUCUGAAGCAUUCAAGGCCUUAGAGAAGAUUUGGUGAAAUCAGCUAAUUUUGAUCCUGAGGGCAUAAAAGGUCUGUCUUGGUGCCAGAGGCUCAUUAGGGCAAAAUACCUCCAUAAUCAGGAUCCUCUCUGAAUUUCUCUGAAGCUUCCUAUGCAGCAGAGAGCUCUUGCCUACCUAGCAUAUCUUCAGCCAGGUCUGUGGAGUGGACAUUAAUGCCCGUACCCCACUGCCAAACUGUGCUGUAGUGUGACUGUGACUUGAGUAGUUGCGGUCAGAGAAGAGACAACCCUCAGGUUCUGCCACCUGAUGCCAUUUGCUUGAUUAAUCUGCUCAAGUCUGCAAUAAAGGAAGAUUGUGCUGUUUCUGCAUGGAGCUGGAUCACUCUCUUUGUGCAAACCGAUACCCUCUUCCCUGCCCUCAGCCUGGCCGCGGCAGGCAGCAGCAGGAGAGCGGUUGCCUGGGAACUACGCAGCACAACCUGGUGGGAGAAACAGUAGGCUCAGAUAUGAAGGAAAAAAGACCAUCAGUUCACAGAGCUACAUACCUCUCCAGUGAAGGAAUAGCAUUAAGCUCAUUUAUUCUCCCACACUGCCUCAGAAGAACUGAAAACACAGGAAUCCGCCUCAGAAGAACUGAAAACACAGGAAUUUGAGGAACAGUCUUGCGUUUGUGUGGGCUUCCCUGGUGCCAUUUCCCAAUAUUGCAUUUUACGCAGUUACAACAUGAGACCAUACAGGACUGUCAUGUUGAACUACACAGAACAAACCAAAUCUGUUUUGCUAGCCUGGCCUUCUGAAGUUGGCUCUUUUCUCUUCUGGCGCCAGCCACUUACUUCAUCAGCUGAUUAAAAGGGGUAACCUAGAACACAAGUUUGGAUCAAGCAAAGUAUAAGAGUUCAGAAACUGAAUGGAAGUGUAUAUUAAGACUUGGCUGUACUGAUCUGCAAAUGGUUUGAAUCUCGAGUUUCAUACCAUGAGACUUUCCAUAGCAUACACUUUACAGAGAGCAUAAGAAAAACUGUAAUGAAAAAAGCACUUUCUGCUCUCUUAAACACAAGUGUUGGUAAGAAAAACAGAUGUAUGAGGGCACUGGGAACUGCCUCGUGAAUUGUCUGAAAGCCAAGCUAGACCCAAUCUCUUUGAACCUUUUAUUUCAAUGAGUAGUUCAGCAAAUUGGAAACAUUCACAAAAAAAAUUAUUUCUUCACAAAUAACAGCAAAAGAGUAGGAGAAAAAAACAACACACAACAAUUAUUUUUUUUCGGUCAUUGUUUGAUUGUAUUUUUUAAAUGUAAAUAUUGUUCACUACAACAAUAAAAAUCAUCAGUUGUAGUCACUGAGUCCCAAACCAGUAAAUAACUUCAAUGACUGAGCAGUUAUCUGGUUCCUUUGGAAAUAAUGUUGAGCUGGUGUUU